rnacentral:sRNA from 1 species
CCUUCGCCCCGAUCGUCGCGCUCGUUACGACGGCGCGGGGGGACCGCCCGCCCAACCGGCUGGCAACAGCCACCACACACGCAACGCUUGACCUCGGAUCAGGCGGGGAUACCCGCUGAACUUAAGCAUAUCAAUAAGCGGAGGAAAAGAAACCAACAGGGAUUACCUUAGUAACGGCGAGUGAAGCGGUAACGGCUCAAAUUUGAAAUCGGCCACCCGGUCGAGUUGUAAUUUGCAGAGGAUGCUUCGGCUUACGCCCCGGCCCAAGUCCGUUGGAACACGGCGUCGCAGAGGGUGAGAAUCCCGUUGCGGCCGGCGGCCCCGCCAUGUGAAGCUCCUUCGACGAGUCGAGUUGUUUGGGAAUGCAGCUCAAAAUGGGAGGUAAAUUUCUUCUAAAGCUAAAUAUUGGCCCGAGACCGAUAGCGCACAAGUAGAGUGAUCGAAAGAUGAAAAGCAUCUUGGAAAGGAAUCGAAACAGCACGUGAAAUUGUUAAAGGGGAAGCGCUCGCGGCGAGAGCCCGCGCGGUCGUUCACCGGGGCCUCGCGCCCCGGGCACGCGGCCGCGUCGGCCAGCAUCGGUUCGGGCGGCGGGAGAAACGCCGACGGCAUGUGGCUCCCCCUCGGGGGAGUGUUAUAGCCGCGGCGCAAUACCGCCCGCCUGGACCGUGGCACGC